CCGUCAGGGCGAAGCCUGUCAGCAAUGCCGCGUGAGUGAUGAAGGCCUUAGGGUUGUAAAGCUCUUUUACCCGGGAAGAUAAUGACUGUACCGGGAGAAUAAGCCCCGGCUAACUCCGUGCCAGCAGCCGCGGUAAUACGGAGGGGGCUAGCGUUGUUCGGAAUUACUGGGCGUAAGGCGCACGUAGGCGGCUUUGUAAGUUAGAGGUGAAAGCCCGGGGCUCAACCCCGGAACUGCCUUUAAGACUGCAUCGCUUGAACGUCGGAGAGGUGAGUGGAAUUCCGAGUGUAGAGGUGAAAUUCGUAGAUAUUCGGGGGGGGGGGGGGGGGCGAAGGCGGCUCACUGGACGACUGUUGACGCUGAGGUGCGAAA
rnacentral:rRNA from 1 species